GAUGAACGCUAGCGGCAGGCCUAACACAUGCAGGUCGAGGGGCAGCACAUAAAGUGGUUUACUACUUUUGGUGGCGACCGGCGGACGGGUGCGUAACACGUAUGCAACCUGCCUCCAACAGGGGGAUAACGGAGCGAAAUUUCCACUAAUACCCCAUAAUAUCAGAAUCGGCAUCGGUGUUGGUUGAAAACUCCGGUGGUUGGAGAUGGGCAUGCGUUGUAUUGGAUAGUUGGUGAGGUAACGGCUCACCAAGUCAACGAAACAUAGGGGGACUGAGAGGUUAGCCCCCCACACUGGUACUGAGACACGGACCAGACUCCUACGGGAGGCAGCAGCGAGGAAUAUUGGUCAAUGGGGGCAACCCUGAACCAGCCAUGCCGCGUGCAGGAAGACGACUCUAUGAGUUGUAAACUGCUUUUACAAGGGGAUAAAUCGGUGUACGUGUACACCGUUGAAGGUACCUUGGGAAUAAGGAUCGGCUAACUCCGUGCCAGCAGCCGCCGUAA
rnacentral:rRNA from 1 species